AGAGCAUCGGUGAUGAAUCCAUGAAAAAAUUGUUAUCCUUGCACUUUGAUUGCUAGUGAAGAAACAAAUGGGGUUUUCGAUUUCUGAGAUGCUC
rfam:Arabidopsis lyrata subsp. lyrata unplaced genomic scaffold ARALYscaffold_4, whole genome shotgun sequence.